GCUGUCUGCGGCCUCCUCAGCACUUCUUCACAUCUCUGGGACUUCAAGUCCAACCUGGCCCUACACAGGUCGCUCAUCUGAAGUCUGAGUCUGAUCUGCCGAGCACAUUCAAGGAGCUGAACCGUCACACUGCAGGCGCAGGGAGCAUGUUGCCGACUAAAAAAUGGAAAAUAUUUCACCGUGUGGUCGAGUAUCAGGAGCGAGACGUGGGAGGUGUUGAACCUUGUCUUCUAUCAGAGAGAAAAUUUCUACCUGUCAAUCAGUCAGCAGUUCUCAACUCUUCAUCUGGAGUUUUUUUGUUUUUUCUUUUUGGACAGACAUGCGAUGAACUGCAUGACAACAACAGCAAGAGGGGAGUCAUUUUUUUUACUUGUUUUUCUUUUUUAAAUCAUAUUUGAGCAUUCCUUCCCCCAGUCUACACACAUCAACAGCCAGGAGACAUGAGAAGAGUCUUAGAAAUGGAUUUCAUGGUUUCUAUUUUAAAAACAGCUUGUUUCUUUUGUUUAUUGGCUGUAGUAAAGAACUGCAGGACUUUUCUUAGACUUGCGAAUGUGGAGGUGGUAGAGAGAGAUAAUAGAGACAGAGAGAGAGAGAGAGAGAGAGUUUAACUAUGAUCACAACUGUGUGUGUGUGUGUGUGUGUGUGUGUGUGUGUGUGUGUGUGUGUGUGUGUGUGUGUGUGAGUGUGUGAAUGUGCUGUACACUGAGUCUUUAUUUCCCAGUGGUGUUCACUGGUGGAGUCCCAACCGGUCGGUGGUGUCAGCUGGUAUCGGUGGUCCUCCCUCAGUACUCGCUCAGGUUGUGCCAUUUGGAGAUCUGCCGGCGGGGGUUUUCGCAGACCUCCCUCCAGUGGGAGGCUCCGGAGGGGGAGGGGCUGUGGAGGCCGAGCAGCAGGCGGCCCAGCACCUCGUUCUUGGUGGUCCGGUCGAAGUCGACCACCAGGAACUCCACGGAGAUCUCGGGCAGCAGCUCAGGCGGGAUGUCGUAGAUGAAGGACUCGUUGAAGACCGGGUUCAACGUGCACUUCUUCACAUGGGUCUUCUUCUUGGCGAUGCGCUUACGUCCGUAGAAGACGUUCACCUUCACGUAGGGGUCUGAGGAGAGAAGAAGAGGGAAAUAAUGGGAGUUUAAGGUUGGCCUCGACAGGAUCAAUAAGAUCCAGGUCUGAUCAGGAUCAAUCAUCGUCGAUCGCUGCACAAUGCAGCUGGUCAGAUUUCUCCUCGACUUGAUCCAGACUCGUUCUGCCAUCAUUCAAACGUAGACAACGAUCAGCUCACGAGAUCAAGGCGGCUGCAGAUUUUGGAGCCCGGGCAUGACGGGAAACACCCGGCGCUCCUCUGAUCUACGAGCUGAUUGGUUCAGACAUUUCUCCUGUUAACAGAAUAAAUGUGACGGUGAUCCGAAGACAUUCAGCAGCCAGUCUGACAGUCGAUCCUAGUGCGAGUCUACAAUAUGAAUAUUACUUAUCUUAUUGUUUUAGGUAUCAUAAAGUAUCGUGAGAGCUACGACUGACGCACAGAACUCUCACUAGGAUUAAAUGUCCUUGUCUGAGUCCUUGUCUGUCUAUGCGUCAGCGUCAAUGAUGAUUAGUAAUGACUAAUCGUCAUUGACGCCGACGCAUAAUGAAUAAUGUCGGGUCGCUAUUUCUUAUUUCGUGUGAUAUUUGGGAUUUUUGUGGUAAUGCAUAUAUAUUAACAAUUAUACAAAAAAAACCGCAGCAUUCAAAUACUGAUUUGGACGUCAAUUGCCACGGCAACGGUCGAAGCUUCGGGGGCAGUUGGAUCCGUCCCAGUUGUCCGUCUCGACUGCAGCUUUUUGUCCCAGCCCCCGGAUCUUAAAAAGUGUCCAGGUGAGGAGCACUUUCUCCAGUCUCCAGUGAGCCUGAUAUUUUGUCUCACAUCCAGGGUCAACUACUGAUGACGAUGGUCCUGAUACCAGAUAUCAAUUGCAAUGGACACGCUCUCCAGAAGAUGCUACGCUACAUGGACAAAAGUAUGUGGACAGGUGAACACAUGAGCCAGUGCAACAUGUGACUGUGACUCCACGUUCACCAAUGAGCUGUUCUAACAGCCUCCACAGUCCUGGUUUCAGUCUUUCCAGAAGAUGUUGAACCUGUUGCAGCGAUCUGAUCCCAUUCAGACACCAGACCAUCAGUGAGGUCCAGCCCUGACGUUGGUGAUCAGGUCUGGCUCGGUGUAACAUGGGGUUGAGGUCAGGACUCUUGCAGGCCAGUCAAGUUGAGACAGGAAAGGUGCGGACACAAACUGAUGGAAGAACACUGUUGUCUCAAAUAUCCCCAAACCGGGACAAGAAGACCCAGAACAAAAGUAAACCAAAGAUACAGUAUGUGUAGAGGGCUGUCCAAAUACUUUUGGCCACAUAGUGAGCUUUGGUGGUUAGACUAACAGAGAGAUUUUCAGGGAUUUAGACUUGAGCCUUGUUUCAUAGCGACAGGAAUUCAGUCUUUCUGCAACAAUUUGAAUCAGCUUUUAGACGGUGCAACAAUAAAACCUCCCACUGAAUAAUAAUA